rnacentral:tRNA from 1 species
GAGAUAGUAGUAUAAAUGUUUUAGUAUAUUCUUUUUUCGCAAGAAAGGUUAGUUAUCUUA